AUGCAUCCAAGCAAGACAUCUCCAGCGAAUGAGAAGGACGGACGUAACAUCUCCGUGGACAUGUACCCGUUCAUACGCAAGUACAAGGACGGCAGCAUCGAGCGUUUCCUACGCAGCCCAUUCGUGCUGGCGUCGCCGGAUCAGGCCGGCAACCGUGGAGUGGCGACGAGGGAUGUCGUCAUCGACAAGGCCCCUGGCGUGUCUGUGCGCCUGUUCCUCCCGUCCCGUGCCGCCGAGACCGCAGACAGGAAUCGGCUUCCCCUCGUCAUCUACGUCCAUGGCGGCUCGUUCUGCACGGAGAGCGCUUUCGGCCGGACGUACCACCGCUACGCGACCUCCCUCGCCGCCAGCGCCGGGGCUCUCGUCGUGUCGGUGGAAUACCGUCUAGCGCCGGAAUUCCCCAUACCCGCGGCCUACGACGACGCGUGGGCCGCGCUCCAGUGGGCGGCGUCUUCGUCCGACCCGUGGGUGGCCAGCUACGCCGACUCGGGGCGCACGUUCCUGGCCGGCGACAGCGCCGGCGGCAACAUCGUUUACCACACGGCAGUCCGCGCCAGCCACGAACUCAACGACGACAUGAUGGACAUUGCGGGGCUCAUCAUGGUGCACCCUUACUUCUGGGGAGACAAGCGGCUGCCUUCGGAGCUCGCGUGGGACGUCGGUGACGGCGUCGCGGCGGUGUUCCCACCGUACGGGGUGGACCGGCUGUGGCCGUUCGUGACGGCCGGCCAGGCCGGCAACGACGACCCCCGGAUCGACCCUCCGGCCUCGGAGAUCUCAUCGCUGGCCUGCCGCCGCGUGCUCAUGGCCGUGGCCGGGAAGGACACUCUGCGCGAGCGUGGCCUCGACCUGGCGGCCAGCAUGCGUGAUCACGACGCGCCGUGGCCAUGGAUGAUGCUGUUGGCGCUGCCUCCUCGCAGCGCUGCUUCUUCUUCUACCUCUUGCUGCCUCUCACAGCUAGACCUCUAUCUCUCUCAAGUUUCUCUCAACAAGAACAACACUACAAAGAAAACACAUACGUACACACACACACUUCACCAAGGAAGAGGAACGCAUUGGCUUUGCCAAAGAGACUUCCUAGGUGAGCACACAAUGGCUACAUGUUUCUUACCCAGCCCUCUCGGCCCCCCAUCUCAUUCAUCUCUUCAAGUUAAAUAG
rnacentral:rRNA from 1 species